UGUUGAAAAGGGUGAGGGUACCGUGCACUAUCGGGUAACCCUCCCUUCUUUCACAGU
rnacentral:pre_miRNA from 1 species